GGAUUCAGUGAGUCAUCGAAAUUUUGAACGCAUAUUGCACUUCCGGGUUAGUCCUGGGAGUAUGCCUGUAUCAGUGUCCGUACAUCAACCUUGGUUUUCUUCCUUCCGUGUAGUCGGUGGAGGAUAUGCCAGACGUGAAGUGUCUUGCUAGCGGUCUUUCGAGUCUGCCGGUGAGUCCUUUUAAAUGUACUGAACUGUACUCUCUCUUUGCGCGAAAAGCGUGGCGUUGCUGGUUGUGGAGGCUGCCCGUGUGGCCAGUCGGCGACCGGUUUGUUAGCUGUGGCGUUUGGAGGAGUGUUCGAUUCGCGGUAUGGUUGGCUUCGGCUGAACAAUCUGCUUAUUGGGUGCUUUUCCUGUCAUGGCGGUAUGAACUGGUGAACCGUAGCUGUNUGGUGCUUGGCUUUUGAACCGGCUUUGCUNUGCGAAGUAGUGUGGCGGCUUCGGCUGUCGAGGGGUCGAUCCAUUUUGGGAAACUUUGUGUGUGCGGCUUCGUCGUGCGCGCAUCUCAAUUGGACCUGAUAUCA
rnacentral:misc_RNA from 1 species